ACACGACUACAUUAGAUACCCGUGUAGUCCUAGCCGUAAACGAUACUCGCUAGGUGUCGGCCACGGUGCGACCGUUGUCGGUGCCGUAGGGAAGCCGUGAAGCGAGCCACCUGGGAAGUACGGCCGCAAGGCUGAAACUUAAAGGAAUUGGCGGAGGAGCACAACAACGGGUGGAGCUUGCGGUUUAAUUGGAUUCAACGCCGGAAAUCUUACCGGGACCGACAGCAACAUGAAGGCCAAGCUGAAGACUUUGCCGGAUUAGCUG
rnacentral:rRNA from 1 species